CCCCCCCCCCAGCAAAACGAUUGUUAUAAAACAAAUUAAAAUGUAAUAAUGAUAAUGAAUAAAAGAAGAAAAAAAGGAGGUGUCACUUUUGAUAGCAGAAUAAGGGGAAGAUAAAAAGGGCAAAAACAGAAAGGGUUGUUAAUACCUUCCUUUAGGAAAUAUGUGGGUUAAGCACAUUUGCCCCCCCCCCCCCCCCCCUGAACAAAAUUAAAUUAAAAUUGAAAAAAUUGAAAAAGAAAGAAAUAGAGGACAGAACCAGAAAGGGGCAUUAAAAGAUAAAGGGUGGGAAGUCAAUGUGAAAAGAAGGUAAUAUGCUACACCACCUCUCCCCCCCCCCCCCUUAAAAAAUAAAAAAUAAUGAAUUAAGAAUAGCUUUUCAUACUCUAUGGAUUCAUUUUUCUUUUUUUCUUCUCCAUUUCAUCUACCUAAUAUUGGUGGUGAUUGUCCUUAACAUUUUUUUAAGUACGGAGUACCCAUUUUCUCUAUGCAUUUUUUCAAAAGCAAAGUUCAUAUGUACAUCAUGUAUGCAUGGAUGGUCAGAAAUUGUCAGAAUGAAUUUACAUAUUCUAUUUGAUGUAUUAAAAUAAGAUCUGGAAUGUACAUACUGUAUAUCAAUGAAAGAUAGUUGAGCAUUGUCAUGAAUUUCUCCUCUCAAAGCACUGUAUAACAUCGUUUGGAGUCGGUUGGGUGUUAACUCGUGUCUUUUAACAGAGUUAACGCCCUUUAUGUUCUGAACAGGUGAUAUGUAAAUACACCGAAUACUGCUUGAUCUGAGAAAACCCCUCUGCAACUGUUCAUAAACUCACUAAAGUUGUUAUCUUGUUAUUUAGCAAUACUAGGAUUUUUGGAAGUGUAAAAUUACUAUAUAUUCAGAAGGUUGCAUGGGGCUUUCCAUUUUUCACACGUACAGCAAAAGCACUAGUUGUCAAUAGUUACAAACAUCUCUUUUUUGUUCAUUUCCGAGCAUACAGUGAAAACGGACUUAUGAACAAUUACACGUCACAAGAAAUGAACAUUAUUUAUAACAAAAAUAGUUAGUGUAUAGAGAGAGAGAGAGAGAGAGAGAGGGAGAUACAGAGAGAUGAACAGACAUGUGUCGAGAAAGAGUUGGACACAGAACAUUUAGUAAUGAUACAAGAAUGAGAAAGGGGGAAAAUGGAAGAAAGAGAAAGUAUUACAUUUUGGAUGGGAUACAAGAUCGAGAUACGCUCUUACUUGUAAAGGUUAUAGAAUACCAAUAAUAAAAAAUCAGAUGAAAGGGGAGGAUUACACAUGAAAAGGACUUGCUCCAGCAUACAUCAAUGGACUCAUUUCACCAAAGGUGCAAACCUCCUCCAUCAGGCUCCGCUCAUAUUCAUCUGUUCAUCUUCAACUAUCACCUGGUCCUCGAACUCACACCCGCUAUGGAGAUCGUGCCUUCUCUGUAUGUGCUCCUAAACUCUGGAAUAAUCUCCCCGUCUCUGUCCGUGAAUCCCCAACUCUUGACACUUUUAAACGUAGACUUAAGACCUAUCUAUUCAACACAAAGUAAUUGCCCAUCAUCAUACCGUAUUUAUAACCACAUGUCCUAUCUUCUUGUAAUUUAUUUAUUGUCUAAUUUACAUAAUUAUUGCAGUUUCAUUAAUGUUACUUAAUUAUUGUAUUUACAUUUUCAUUUUUCAUUAUCAUGUUAUUGUUAUACAUUGUUAGUUAAGUAAUUGGUCUAAAUUAAGCGCAUUGUUCAUUUCAUGUUUCUAGUUGAUCCUUAUUACAUAUUUAGUUUAACCGUACUUUUCAUUUCACUUGUUUUGUAAAGCGCUUAGAAACUGUAUUUGUAUACCAGCGCUAUAUAAAUCUUAAAUAUUAUAUUCUUUUUAUAUUUUAAAAGAUAACAAAUAUCUACCCAAAACUAAUAAUGCACAAAGGGAACUAAGGGUCUGCGCACAUAAUUUGACUUAAAAGUGACAAUGAUUUUCUUUUAUGUUCCUCUAAUGCUUAAUCCCAUAUCAUUCUUUAUAUUUUGAAGUGUGCCAAAAUGAUGGUGAAAACGAUGUCAUGUUGAAAUUGCAAUAGAACAGGUUCCCAUGUAUGCAUGCACUCAUUCAUUUUUAAAGUUAAGGAUUUUUAAAGUGAAAGAUAGCAUUUUGGGACUUGUGAAUGAAAUCACUAAAAUCAGACAUUUUACAAUAUAUUUUACAUAUUUAUUGCAUGAAUACAUAUUGCUACAAUAGACAUAUAUUAGGUGUCAUUUAUCACUUGUUUUGAUUUAUCAUGAUCGCACAGCUCCGUGUAAGCUCAGACAUACGCACUCAAAUUAUACAUGUACUACAUUCAUUUGCAGAGGUCUAAUGAAAAGGAAAGCCAGUUCACACAAGAUUCAUUCUUUAUAAUAAUAUUUUAUUAAGCAAUUUACAACAUAGAUAAGUAUAACAUACAUUUGUAUAUGAAUUUUGAUUGAAUAUUGGAAGAUAGUUAGUUUCUUAUAAUAGACUAUAUAAAUAUGUA
rnacentral:lncRNA from 1 species